GGGCCCGCACAAGCGGUGGAGCAUGUGGUUCAAUUCGACGCAACGCGAAGAACCUUACCCAGGCUUGACAUGCACUGGACUGGUGUGGAAACACAUCUUCCCUUCGGGGCCGGUGCACAGGUGCUGCAUGGCUGUCGUCAGCUCGUGUCGUGAGAUGUUGGGUUAAGUCCCGCAACGAGCGCAACCCUUGUCCUUAGUUGCUAACGAGUCAAGUCGAGCACUCUAAGGAGACUGCCGGUUUCAAACCGGAGGAAGGUGGGGAUGACGUCAAGUCCUCAUGGCCCUUACGCCUGGGGCUACACACGUGCUACAAUGGCCGGUACAAAGGGCUGCGAUACCGCGAGGUGGAGCCAAUCCCAAAAAACCGGUCUCAGUUCGGAUUGCAGUCUGCAACUCGACUGCAUGAAGUCGGAAUCGCUAGUAAUCGCUGAUCAGCAGGCAGCGGUGAAUACGUUCCCGGGCCUU
rnacentral:rRNA from 1 species